rnacentral:pre_miRNA from 1 species
AUAUUACUCCCUCCGUUCGGAAUUACUUGUCGCAGAAAUGGAUGUAUCUAGACAUAUUUUAGUUCUAGAUACAUCCAUUUCCAAGACAAGUAAUUCCGAACGGAGGGAGUACAUC